rnacentral:rRNA from 1 species
CCUACGUGUGGCAGCAGUAGGGAAUCUUCCACAAUGGGCGAAAGCCUGAUGGAGCAACGCCGCGUGAGUGAAGCAGGUCUUCGGAUCGUAAAACCCUGUUGUUAGAGAAGAAAGUGCGUGAGAGUAACUGUUCACGUUUCGACGGUAUCUAACCAGAAAGCCACGGCUAACUACGGCCCAGCAGCCGCGGUAAUACGUAGGUGGCAAGCGUUCUCCGGAUUUAUUGGGCGUAAAGGGAACGCAGGCGGUCUUUUAAGUCUGAUGUGAAAGCCUUCGGCUUAACCGGAGUAGUGCAUUGGAAACUGGGAGACUUGAGUGCAGAAGAGGAGAGGGGAACUCCAUGUGUAGCGGUGAAAUGCGUAGAUAUAUGGAAGAACACCAGUGGCGAAAGCGGCUCUCUGGUCUGUAACUGACGCUGAGGUUCGAAAGCGUGGGUAGCAAACAGGAUUAGAUACCCGAGUAGUC